rnacentral:lncRNA from 1 species
AGAGUAAACUUUAAAUAUCACCUCUGUCAUUUCACGCUUUCUCACUUUAAUACAACGUGGUUUAAAGCGCUUUUGUAAUGUCCUGUGGUUUCGUUUUUCUUUUUUUGUGAGCGCCUCCGUUAACUCUUUGCUAAAUCCUAUGUAAAAAAUUUCAUAUACCUCAUCUGUAGUUCAUCAAACAUUUGUAGUUCAUCAAACAUUCACUUUAGUAUUCUGUGAUUUAUCGAAUUUUCACUUUAGUACCUUUUGGCUUUAAUUUUAUCACCGAUGAAUUUAACGAAAAAAUUAACGGAGGGGAUAACGAAAAGAAAAAAAUAAAAUCACAGGAUAUAAAAGUGAUACAAUUUAAACUAUGUGAUAUUAAAGUGAGAGAGCGCGAAACCACAGAAAUGGUAUUUGAAAUUUUUUUUUUAUGAAAAAAAAAGAAGUGGGGCCGAACAGACACUUACCGAGCACGUCGCCAGCCCUGAAGCGCUUGCCCCUGACCCAGCCGGCCAUGUUGAAGGUCCAGCCGCUGCGGUCGCCGACGGUGUAGACGGCCGCCUCCGCGACCUCGCCUUGGAUGAGGAUGAAGCACAGAAGCACUGCCAGGCCAAGCCUAACUGCUGCUCUGUUCUCAGCACUGCCCCUUCCCUGAGCCAUCCCCCUCUCUUUCUCUCUCUAGAUCUCUCUAGCUAAUUAAACACCAAACACAGAUAUAGAGAGAGAAAAUGAGCCCAAAGGAUUGUGUUGGGCUAGGAAGAGAAUGGUGGGUUUUAUAGAGGGAUCAUAGUGGAGUGUGUGCAUGCAUGGUGGGUCCCCCACAAAUUGGCAAGCAAGCAUAUAUAUAUAUNUAGUGCUUCUUUAGUGGAGUGUUGUGUGCAAAACAGAGUAAAGCUUUACGAACCAAAAAAAAAAAAAAAAAAAAUCAAGCUUCUACCAGCUUCUAAGUAGUACAUAGUUUUUUAAAAAAUUUCAUAAGAAAUAAAAAAAAAUUAGAUAAUGUUUCUUUAAAUAGCUCUGCUCUAAUAAUAUUAUAGUAAAAACUCCAUUCGCAUUAGCCAGAUUAAAACUUAUGUCCGUAAAAAUACUAUAUAAAUAGAUCAUGUUAAAAAAAAACAAGCACGCAGAUUGAAGCUAGGUCAUCAUUUCCAUGCACUUUCUAUAUUUGCCGAACGUCCUUCUACUACUUUUCGAAGUGCAAAGUUUAUGAAAAGGAUAAACUUUAAAUAUCACCUAUGUGGUUUCACGCUUUCUCACUUUAAUACAACGUGGUUUAAAGCGCUUUUGUAAUGUCCUGUGGUUUCGUUUUUCUUUUUUUGUGAGCGCCUCCGUUAACUCUUUGCUAAAUCAUAUGUAAAAAAUUUCAUUUACCUUAUCUGUAGUUCAUCGAAUAUUCACUUUAGUAUUCUGUAGUUUAUCGAAUUUUCACUUUAGUACCUUCUGGCUUUAAUUUUAUCACCGAUUAAUUUAAUAAAAAAAUUAACGGAGAUGAUAAUAAAAAGAGAAAAAUAAAAUCACGGAUUAUGAAAGUGAUGCAUUUUAAACACGUGAUAUUAAGGUGAGAAAACGCGAAACUAUAUAUAGGAUGAUAUUUGAUGUUUUUUUUUCUAUGAAAAUAAAAAAAAAAGUGGGGCCGAACAGACACUUACCGAGCACGUCGCCAGCCCUGAAGCGCUUGCCCCUGACCCAGCCGGCCACGUUGAAGGUCCAGCCGCUGCGGUCGCCGACGGUGUAGACGGCCGCCUCCGCGACCUCGCCUUGGAUGAGGAUGAAGCACAGAAGCACUGCCAGGCCAAGCCUAACUGCUGCUCUGUUCUCAGCACUGCCCCUUCCCUGAGCCAUCCCCCCC